rnacentral:lncRNA from 1 species
GGAUGGACUCCAUCCAAGUUUCUACGAUGGUCGACCACCUUCUAGAUGUCGUCCGAGCUCCUACGGGAGUCGGACUUCUUCCCCGAACCCCGACUGCAGGUAGACUUCGUCCGAGCUCCUACGGGAGCCGAACUUUAGCCCCAAGCUCCUAUCGCAAGUGGGCCUCAUCCGAAUUCUGGCAAGGGCCGGACUCCGGGCCCCCACCACAAGUGAUCUACUCCGAACUUCUACCACAAGCGGUCUGCUCCGAGCUACCACUACAAGCGGUCUGCUCCAAAUUUCUACUACGAGCGGUCCA